GAGGAAUAUUGGUCAAUGGACGAGAGUCUGAACCAGCCAAGUAGCGUGAAGGAUGACUGCCCUAUGGGUUGUAAACUUCUUUUAUACGGGAAUAAAGUGAGGUACGUGUGCCUUUUUGUAUGUACCGUAUGAAUAAGGAUCGGCUAACUCCGUGCCAGCAGCCGCGGUAAUACGGAGGAUCCGAGCGUUAUCCGGAUUUAUUGGGUUUAAAGGGAGCGUAGGCGGACGCUUAAGUCAGUUGUGAAAGUUUGCGGCUCAACCGUAAAAUUGCAGUUGAUACUGGGUGUCUUGAGUACAGUAGAGGCAGGCGGAAUUCGUGGUGUAGCGGUGAAAUGCUUAGAUAUCACGAAGAACUCCGAUUGCGAAGGCAGCCUGCUGGACUGUAACUGACGCUGAUGCUCGAAAGUGUGGGUAUCAAACAGGAUUAGAUACCCUGGUAGUCCACACAGUAAACGAUGAAUACUCGCUGUUUGCGAUAUACAGUAAGCGGCCAAGCGAAAGCGUUAAGUAUUCCACCUGGGGAGUACGCCGGCAACGGUGAAACUCAAAGGAAUUGACGGGGGCCCGCACAAGCGGAGGAACAUGUGGUUUAAUUCGACGAUACGCGAGGAACCUUACCCGGGCUUGAAUUGCAACUGAAUGAUGUGGAGACAUGUCAGCCGCAAGGCAGUUGUGAAGGUGCUGCAUGGUUGUCGUCAGCUCGUGCCGUGAGGUGUCGGCUUAAGUGCCAUAACGAGCGCAACCCUUAUCGAUAGUUACCAUCAGGUUAUGCUGGGGACUCUGUCGAGACUGCCGUCGUAAGAUGUGAGGAAGGUGGGGAUGACGUCAAAUCAGCACGGCCCUUACGUCCGGGGCUACACACGUGUUACAAUGGGGGGUACAGAAGGCAGCUACACGGCGACGUGAUGCUAAUCCCGAAAGCCUCUCUCAGUUCGGAUUGGAGUCUGCAACCCGACUCCAUGAAGCUGGAUUCGCUAGUAAUCGCGCAUCAGCCACGGUGCGGUGAAUACGUUCCCG
rnacentral:rRNA from 1 species